rnacentral:rRNA from 1 species
UACGAGAGGCCCAAACGUUAUUCGGAAUUACUGGGCUUAAAGAGUUCGUAGGCGGCAUUGCAAGUAGGGUGUGAAAGCCCUCGGCUCAACCGAGGAAUUGCGCUCUAAACUGCAGUGCUUGAGGAACCUAGAGGUGAGCAGAACAGAUGGUGGAGCGGUGAAAUGCGUUGAUAGUCAUCUGGAAUACCGGAGGCGAAGGCGGCUCACUGGGAGUUUUCUGACGCUGAGGAACGAAAGCCAGGGUAGCGAACGGG